AAACCUCCCCUGCAGAUUGAGUUCAAUAACUACAGACAGAUGUGUGGUGAGAAGUCGGAGGAAGCCUUGAAUAGAUCAGAGAAAACGGGCUCUAACCAGAAUAGAAAGAGGAGCGGGAGGCCCCGGUGCACAACUGAGCAAGAGGACAAGUACAUUAGAGUGUCUAGUUUGAGAAACAGACGCCUCACAAGGCCUCAACUGGCAACUUCAUUAAAUAGUACCCGCAAAACACCAGUCUCAACGUCAAUUGAUUGGUUUUAUUUGAUGUAUUAUGUACUUAACCUUUAUUUAACUAGGCAAGUCAGUUAAGAACACAUUCUUAUUUACAAUGACGGCCUACCAAAAGGCAAAAGGCCUCCUGUGGGGACGGGGCCAGGGAUAAAUUGUAUAAAAAAAUAUGAUGUAAAUAUAGGACAAAACACACAUCACAUCACAGCAACAGAGACAACACAACACUACAUAAAGAGAGACCUAAGACAACAACAUAGCAAGGCAGCAACACAUGACAACACAGCAUGGUGGCAACACAACAUGACAACAACAUGGUAGCAACACAACAUGUAGCAGCACAAAACAUGGUACGAAAAUCAAGCACAAAGGUCAAGAAGGUAGAGAGACCAAUACAUCACACAAAGCAGCCACAACUGUCAGUAGAGUGUCCAUGAUUUAGUCUUUGAAUGAAGAGAUUAAGAUAAAACUGUCCAGUUUGAGUGUUUGUUGCAGCUGUUUCCAGUUGCGAGCUGCAGCGAACUGAAAAGAGGAACUGAAAAGAGGAGCGACCCAGGGAUGUGUGUGCUUUGGGGACCUUUAACAGAAUGUGAUUGGCAGAACGGGUGUUGUAUGUGGGGGAUGAGGGCUGCAGUAGAUAUCUCAGAUAGGGGGGAGUGAGGCCUAACGGGGUGUUUAUAAAUAAGCAUCAAACAGUGGGUCUUGUGACUGGUAUGCAGAAAUGACCCAUUUACAGAGGAAUAUAGAGUGCAGUGAUGUGUCCUAUAAGGAGAAAAUGGUGGCAAAUGGUGGAAAAAACUGAUGGCCGAAUGCUAAAGAACAUCUAGCUCCUUGAGAGUACCCUUACCUGCCGAUCUAUAAAUUAUGUCUCCGUAAUCUAGCAAGGGUAGGAUGGUCAUCUGAAUCAGGGUUAGUUUGGCAGCUGGGGUGAAAGAGGAGAGAUUACAGUAGAGCAAACCAAGUCUAGAUUUAACUUUAGCCUGCAGCUUUGAUUUGUGCUGACAGAAGGACAGUGUAGAGUCUAGCCACACUCCCAAGUACUCUAAACCCUCAGAGGUAGUAAUAACACCAGUGGGAAGAGGGGAAUUCUUCUUACCAAACCACAUUACCUUUGUAAUUGGAGGUGUUCAGAACAAGGUUAAUCUCUCUGGGAUAUGUGGGACGCUAGCUUCCCACCUCGCCAACAGCCGCCAGUGAAAUUGCAGGGCGCCAAAUUCAAAACAACAGAAAUUCCAUAAUUAAAAUUCCUCAAACAUACAAGUACUUUACACCAUUUUAACGAUUUCAAAAAGGAUUUACGACGAAAGCACACCAAAUGAUUAUGUUGGUUGUGGUAGGAUGAUUGUGGAGGCCAGGUCAUCUGAUGCAGCACUCCAUCACUCUCCUUCUUGGUCAGUACCUAGUCAGAAAAACACAGCCAUUUUUCCAGCCAAAGAGAGGAGUCACAAAAAGCAUAAAUAGAG
ensembl:lncRNA